CCUACGGGUGGCUGCAGUGGGGAAUUUUGGACAAUGGGGGCAACCCUGAUCCAGCCAUGCCGCGUGCGGGAAGAAGGCCUUCGGGUUGUAAACCGCUUUUAGUCGGGAAGAAAAGGCAGGGGCUAACACCUCUUGUUCUUGACGGUACCGGCGGAAUAAGCACCGGCUAACUCCGUGCCAGCAGCCGCGGUAAUACGUAGGGUGCGAGUGUUAGUCGGAAUUACUGGGCGUAAAUGUUGAGUCGGAUGUUAAAGCCCCGGGCUCAACCUGGGAAUGGCAUUGGAAACUGGCAAGCUCGAGUGCGGCAGAGGGGGGUGGAAUUCCGCGUGUAGCAGUGAAAUGCGUAGAGAUGCGGAGGAACACCGAUGGCGAAGGCAGCCCCCUGGGCCGACACUGACGCUCAGGCACGAAAGCGUGGGGAGCAAACAGGAUUAGAUACCCUGGUAGUC
rnacentral:rRNA from 1 species